rnacentral:pre_miRNA from 1 species
UUCUCGGAAGCUAUCAACUUUGCUUGUCCUCGAUGAACUGGUCCCGAAAUGUGCGUGAGCGUGUGGUCGAAAAAGCUUGAAGUUGGAGCCUGCAGUCAGUUCUUCGGCCGAAUCAGACCCCAAUCUCUUGCUUCCACCGAAACACGCUCACGUACAUAUCGGGACCAGUUCAUCGAGGACAAGCAAAGUUGAUAGCUUCCGAGAA